AGGUGGACCACUUCCUCUUGGUCAAUCUGCUGGGGGAAUUGGCUUAUUGUUGUUUAGGCCAUUACUGGAAAAUUUUUCCUGUGCUGCUUUGAUGGAUGUAUUCAAUACAUUUAUUGAGUUGCUGCGUCAAACUGGUGAUGUUACAAAAGGGCAAAUUGACACAGAUGAAUUGAGCCCAAGAUGGUUAUUGAAGCAAGAAGUUCCAAAGAUUGUUAAAUCAAUAAAUAGACAACUACAAGAGAAAUCUAUCAAAACAAAG